GUGGCCAGGUAAGUCUUAUUUUAUUUUUAGGGCUAUAUUUGUGGUUUGGGGGGAGUGUUAGGUGCCCUUUUGGUUUUUUUGGGCUGCUGGAGCCUGAAAAACCAAAGGUGGCUGUCAAGGACAGAACGCCACAAGAUCAAAGAUAACAGAGUUUAUUGGAUUUACAGAACUCAAAAUGCCCGUAAAAGACAAGGGCUAGGCAACAUUAGCCUCAAAAAGCAAAAAGGGGCAAGAAAAACGUUCAAAAGAUAAACCGGAUUAAACCGGAGUUUAAUCCGGGUAAAAUCAAAACAGCUUGCUUCAGCUUGGGAACAAACAAAACAGAAGCUGGGAAACAAAGAGUUCAAAAGAAUGUAACUAAUUGGCAGCAGAUGCCUCUCUGCUGCCAGCACUAUGUUUUGAGUAACUUAGAAGUCACUCCUACACACAGCAGGCAAUUUCCAAUACAACCACAACAGCCGAGGAUUGAAGCAGUAGAGUAGUCCCAGUUCUUUCCGAAGGUCGAUAGGCAGAAGCAGACGUUUGCAGUUUUCCCAAGUCCAGUAGGAGAAUCCGAGCCCGUAGUCAGUUCAGUCCGUAAAUCCAGAGUAGCAGAUGGCGUCCGUCAAGAAGACGACGGAAGGUCAAAGCUAUUGAGAUUAAGCAGAGGUUUGCACAAACAAAAGCCCACACAAUUCCUCCCGCCGUCUGAACCCAAAUUCCAAAACAACUUACGUAAUCAGCACACGAAACACACCCGUCUUCAGGAAAACGUCCCACACAGAUCCCAAGCGUUUGUCCAGAUUACCUUGCCCAACGCAAUUUGCUAUUGCUCCCAAGCCCCAUUUUAUGCCAGUUACAAGUCCUGAAGGUCCCCAAUCAUCUUCCAUCCCAUCAUUGCCAGUGGCACCCAAUUCCUCCCUUACCCGAGUCCAAUCCAUCUCAUCCUCUUCUGAGCUAACCAGCUCUUCCUCCAUUCUCUCUGUAAACCCCUCAAAAGACUCUUCGUCAGAUGGUUCUGCAAAGAUAUCUCGCAGCCUCUUUCUUUCUCGCUCCUCGAGAGUAUCUGACUCUCGAGGAGUCUUACGCCCACGUCUGCCAGUAGCAGAGCCAUGAGGCUCAAUCAUAACACUGGCUGUGUGGAUUGGACCCAGGAAUC
rnacentral:lncRNA from 1 species